rnacentral:rRNA from 1 species
AUGUUGACAACUUGGAGAAUACAUUGGUUGCUUCACAUUAGACCCGGAAAGAAGACCGCCGGUAACGAUUAUGAAGCAGAGUCGCAUAGUAAUGGACCCGUGAACAGAUAUGAGGACGAGUAUUUCAAAAAAUCAAAGACUUACAUUCCUCUAAACAAGCAAAAUAAUCACUGGAUUACUGUCGUCAUGCAUAGCGGGAAGAGAGAGUUUCAGGUUUUUGACUCGUUGAUGACCGAAAAACUUGACAGUGUUACUAGAGAACUCGUUGAGGACGUGAGAAAACAACUGGCAGAAGAUAUCCAAGAAGCAAAUGCAACCGGAAUUAUGAAUUAUCCGGAUGUUUCCAAUUGGCCUAUUCAAACGUAUGACAUGCCAAAACAACAUGAUGGGAAUUCGUGUGGAAUAUUUCUUCUUCGAUGCUUUCAAUAUUGGGAUGGUGACAAAUGGACAGGCUUAUUUUCACAGAGCUCAAUUAAUGAUUCGAGAGAGUUAAUGAUUGCGCAACUUAUCUUUUCGGAAAGAAACAAGCUUGAUGAAGUGAAAAACAAAGUUAUUCGGAUAUCAAAGAAGAAGAAAUAG